AUCGUUUCUCAGCCUCUGGGCUAAGGUCAAAUGUGCUGUUUGUUCUUAUCAGGUUAAUAUCUGAUAUAUCCUCUGUCUGAGGACAAUACAUUAAAUGCACUUUUGGAGCAGGGGAUGUGGAAUAGAAUCUUGCUCCAUAUACUCCACCAUCAACCUGGUAUUGCAGUAUCUCAUGACUGAUGCACCCCCC